rnacentral:rRNA from 1 species
CUAAAAGUUAAUGAUGAAUUUCUUGACAGAAGAUAAAUAAAGGACGUGAUUCAUUUACGAAAUUUCCAAGAUAAGAAAAAUAUAUAAAAAAUAUCGAUGACCUUGGAUUAUCCUUAAAACUGAAAAGUUUCAACAAAAAGGUAAGAAAAAAAUAGCGAACUGAACCAUCUUAGUAGCUAUAUUAUAAAAUCAACCGAGAACUCUAUUAGUAAAGGCGAUUGAAUAUAGAGACUAGCUUAGCUCCGUUUAGAAUAUAAAGAAUUUAGAAAGAGUUGAAAACCUCUGCCAAAGAAAGUGAAAGCCUUGUAUAAAAACGAAAUAUUCCCAAGAAAACGAAGCGUGUAUCAAGGCUAAAACCUUGAUCGUAAAGGAGUACCAUAUGACUUCUAAGCUAAAAAUAUCUUCUGAUCGAUAGCGUAAAAGUAAUGUGAAUGAAAGAUGAAAAGAAUUCUACGGAAUAGUGAAAGAGAUCAUGAAAUCAUUAAUUAAUAAACUUCCAAAGAGAGAAAAAACUUUCGAUGGAUUACCUUUUGCAUCAUGAGUCAACAAGGUAGAUUGUUAAGCAUAAAGUUUGUAAAAGCAUAGCGAAAGCAAGUUAGAAAAUAGCGAUAGCUUAAGAAUCUAAACGCGAACGAAAGUGAUCUAAUAAUGAUCAGGUUGAAAUGUUAUUUACAUAACACGAAGGACCGAACCAGUCAAUGUUGCAAUAUUGUUGGAUGAAUUGUUAUUAGCGAUGAAAUGUUAAACGAACUUUCCACUAGCUCGUUCUUUUCGAAAUCUAUUGAAGUAGACCUCUUAUUAGAAAUCUUCAGGUAAAGCUCUUUUUUAAACUAGGGAUCAUUGUAUUUACGACUUUAAUUAAAACUAAGAAUUGAAGAUUAAAAGAAAAUAAGAGAGACAGACUGUAGUUUUGAACAUCUAUAGUCAAGAGGGAAACAGCCCAGACAAUUAGCUAAAGCCCGUAAAAUAAGCUUAAGUAUGAAAGGAUGUUUGUUAAGGAAGACAACUACCAAAUAGGCUUAGAAGCAGCCAUAUUUUAAAGAAAGCGUAACAGCUCAGUAGAAGAUCUUAAAUACAGCGCCAAAAAUUUAUUCGGAUUAAAAGCUUAUGCUGAAGCUAUUGCUUUUUUAUUAUUUUAUUAUUUUAUUAUUUAAUAAAAAAGGGUAGAAAAGUAUUAUAUAAACUCAAAAGACUGAUUUGUAAAGAUUAAGUUUAGAGAUUAUAAGAGAUUAUGUUGAUAUUAGUAGAGUUAAAGAUUUGAAAAUCUGACCGUAAAUCGAAGAUUUUCUAUUUAAAAAAAUAAAAUAGAGUAAACUUGUACCUUAGCUUAUCUUACCAAGAAAAUUAUGAAAGUAAAAAUCAAAAGAAUCUGAAAAGAAAAAGUGAAGGGGAAUUAAUAACUUAAGAAGUAUAAAGGCUUUUUAUAAAAAGAAAAAAAGAAAGACUGAAAGCUUCUUCUAGAAAAAAAUAAUACAAAAACAAUAUUAAAACCGACACAGGUAGAUUAGUAUAAGUAUACUAAGGUUUUGGAUAAAAUCAUCUUUAAGGAACUCGGCAAAAUGACCUCGUAACAAUUGGAUAAGAGGGUGUAUUGAGAAAAUACAAUGUGUAAAUUAAUAACGGCAACUGUUUAUCAAAAACACAGGUAUCAGCAAAGUGUAAUAAUGAUGUAUUGAUACUGGAAUCUGCCCGGUGCUAGUAUAAUGAAAGGUGUAAAGUGAGAGCUUAAUACUCAAGUCCUAGUAAACGGCAGUCAUAUUUUUAAUGAUUCUAAGGUAGCGAAAUUCCUUGACGUUUAAUUGGCGUCCUGCAUGAAUGAAUCAAUGACCGUUAUACUGUCUCAAAGAUGAGAUCCUCGAAAUUGAAUUACGUGUGCAAAUGCACGUUACUUAAACCUAGAAAAAAAGUCUCUUAGAGUUUAACUUGUAUCUAAAUUUGAAAACUUAUUCUAUUUAUGUAGUAAUAGCUGGGAGAGAAAUCACCAAUGAAAGACCAGCUAGAUAGCCUAAGUUUCCUAACUUUGGAACAAAGAACAGAUUUAGAAAGCUAGUUUAGCUGGGGCUUCUAUCUUCCAAAUGAUAAAGAAGAUGUGUAUAAGGUUAGGUUAACUCUCUAUUUAGAGAGGGCAAAAAUAUAAUGGUAACAAACCUAGCUUGACUGUAAAAUAUAUAAAUUGAACAGGGACGCAAGUCGACCAUAGUGAUCCGAUAUAAUUGAAUGGAUAAAGAUAUCGCCGACAGAUAAAAAUUACCUUAGAGACAACAGGCAUUCUAACAGUAAGAGCUCUUAUCGAACUGGUUUAGAUGUACUUCGAUGUUGAAUAGACUUAUCCUGGAGGAGCAGAAGAUUCCAAGGGUUCUAUUGUUCAUAGAUUAAAAAGUCACUUGAUUUGAGUUAAGAUCGUCGUGAGACAGAUCGGUUUAUAUCUAGUUUAAGAAAGUUAAGAAGAAAAAAAAAAGAAAAUCUUAAUACGAAAGGAAUAGAUUUUAUUAGCCUAUAGUGUAACAAUUGUCUGAUAUAGGCAUCGUUGUGAAGCCACGCUAAAAAAGAUAAUCAUUGAAUGCAUCAAUAUGAGAAGCUUAUUUUUAUCCUUUUCUUCAAGAAAAAAAUCAAUUCGGAUUGGAAUUCAUUCCAAUUCAUUAUGAAUGAUGAUAGUAGCAAAUCGUUCUAGACUAGGACGUUGAUAGGUACUCGGUAUUAAAUUUAUAAAAAAAAAGCUUGAGUAUACUAA